UUAUUAAAAUAAAUAAGAUCUUCAUUCUAACAAAAAAAUAACCAAAUAUAAUAUGUGUAAUGUUAGAUUAAAUGUAAGAAAAAAAACCUAAUAUUUUUACAUUUUUAUUUAUGUGUCUCUAUGCAUUUGCAGAUGCCUAUGGAGGCCAGAAGAGGGCGUCGGAUCUCCUGGAGCUGGAGUUACGGAUGGUUGUGAACAGCCCAAUGUGGUGCUGGAAACUGAGCAGCAAGAGGUCUUAAUCGCUGAUCGUUUCUCCAGCUUGUGCUGGCUAGUUUUAGGUCAACUUGGCACAAGCUAGAGUCACUGGCAAGGAGGGAACCUCAGUUGGGAACACGCCUCCAUACUAUUUGGCUGUUCACAUGCAUGUGGAGAUCGGAGGACAACCUGUGGGUGUCAGGCCUUGCCUUCCCACCUUGUUUGAGACAACGCAUAAGCAGGGACAGCUGGUCCACUCACUACUGAAUACAGCUUUUCUAUCUGGGUCCUGGGGAUUUGAAUUCAAGUUGUUGUGUUUGUGUGACAAAAGUUUUUACCCACUGAGCCAUCUCCCCAGCCCCUGAGCUUUUAUUUCUCAUCCUUAUUAAUUUAAUGUAACAAUAUUAACAUGAAUUUAAUGUACCUGUAAUAUGAUUUUGCCAAGAACUUGGCAGAAUCAGCACUCCUUUAUGAAUCAUUAUAUAAAUGCAUGUUUUUUCAUAUA